UUCCAUUCUACUGAACUAGACAGGCUGAGAGAGUUGGGGUUGUUGAGCCUGGAGAAGAGAAGACUGCAGGGAGACCUUAGAGCAGCCUUCCAGUACCGAAAGGGGCUCCAAGAAAGCCCACAGGAAGGCAGCGGACACCAACCUGGCAGCCGGACAGAGCGCGUCACUCUGGCUGCUGCGAGGGAGCGUUACGGGCCCCGCACCUUGGGGAUGGAAGCGCUGUUUGCAACGGGGGACGGAGACAGCACACCGGCACAUGGAGCAGCGCGCAGAGAAGCGAUGGAGGAUUCUCGCCUCCCAGGGGCUCUGAGUGGCCUCUGUUCCAGUGACUCCUGCCCCACCGAGCCCCUGAUUCCCUACGGAAAAACCUCCUUGUCAACCCAGUGGUCAUUUCACAGGAUCACAGAAUCACGAGGUUGGAAAAGACCUCCAGGAUCAUCAAGUCCAACCGUUCCUAUCCUAUUUACAAAGGAAUGGGCGAAGACCAGAGUGCGGGGCACCCGCCCUGGAAAAAUCGUUAAGAAGCCACGGCGGGACAAGAACAUCUAUGACUUAGAUGUUCUAAGUCACAGAUUCAUAGAAUACUUUGGGUUGGAAAGGACCUCAAAGCCCAUCCAGUUUCACCCCCUGCCAUGGGCAGGGACACCUCCCACUGGAUCAGGUUGUUCAUAGGUUCAUCCAACCUGGCCUGGAACACCUCCAGGGAUGGGGCAGCCACAGCUUCCCUGGGCAACCUGGGCCAGGGCCUCACCACUCUCAUGGUGAAGAAAUUCCUCCUUAUGUCCAGUCUAAAUCUGCCCCUCUCUGGUUUAUAACCAUUGCCCUUUGUUCUAUUUCUACAACCCUUUGUGAACAGCCCCUCUCCAGCUUUCUUGUAGCCGCUUUCAGGUACUGGAAGGUCACUAUAAGAUCUCCUCUGAGUCUUCUCCUCUCCAGGCUGAACAACCCCAACUCUCACAGCCUGUCCUUGUAUGGGAGAUGCUCCAGCCCUCACAUCAUCCUUGUAGCUUCCUCUGGACCUGCUCCAACAGCUCCAUCUCCU